UUCAAUUUGUUGAUUAUAACUUUCAAUUUGUUUUAAACAGUCACAAUCCCAAACAACAAACCCAGAAAAUGCUACAACCAGCUCCGCCUAUUCUCACCGUCGUGUGCAUCACUCAUCGCCGUGACGCCGAGUAAAUCAACCGGAGAUCUUCUUCUUCUUCUUCUUUCUGUGUUAUUCAACGCUUUCAUCCAGUUAGUUUUAAUUUCAAAAAUUCUCUAAAAAUAUUCAAAAUGUAAAACUUAAAUCGUGUUUUACAAGAAAAUUUGUUGUUUACUAGUUCAAUCUCGCAUCUCAAAACUUGUAUAGCGUAAUCAUACUUGUUAAUUUAACUGAAAUCAUCAUUAUGAAUAAUAGAUUUCAGAUUUCGUUUAUGUUUUAUGAUUGACUGACUGAUUUAGGUAUAUAGCUCUCUGUGCAAGCUAGGGUUUCAGUUCGGUGCAUACACUAUGACUGGAAUUAGGUUUCUGAUCACUCGUCGGAUGUAUAAUACUUGUUCAAAAUCGAACAACCGUGUUUAUCAAGUUAAGGACACUGUAAGACCAUCUGUGAGUAGCAUAGGAGUCAUAGGACUUGACUAUAUAGCCAACAAAAGUACUAGAAGUAACAAUGUGGACAUAGUUUCACCUACACUAUCGAACCUUCGCCUUUGAACUACUUCUCCUUUUCUAGGAACGACGUAUUUGUUGAUUCAUCGGUUAUAUUCAUCAUCUGCCGGUAAUCGUCGAGAGGAUAUGGCGGUUUCGGGAUCGAGUGGACCGGAAGGUGUUAAUUCUAGUGGAUCCAAACUCAUCACCUCCUUCAGAUCUAAGCGAAUCGUGUAGGGUUUGGAGGCUAAUCUCUUUUUGUUCAGAAAAUUAGGGCUUGAAGAGCAUCAGACAAUGCCUUCGAUGCUUUCGCUCGAAUUUAUUAUUAUUCCUCCUUUGGCUACCUCUUCUUAUUCCGGUCGUUCGUAUUCUCAUCGUCUUAAACGUCGUCGUGGUGGUAAUCUUAUUAGUUAACAAUUGCUUUGUUUUUGUGUUUUUUGUUGUCAAAUUAGUAUCUAUUUCUGCAUCUGUCGACUUUUUUCUUCAUCAUCGUCAUCGGUUUACUGUUUUUGAGGCGGUCAAUUAGUUGUAUCUGUUGAAUUAGACAUCAAUCAAGAGAUACGAGAUUGUUUGGAUUGGUUUCAGUUUCUGCGUGGUUGAAAUUUGGUCAACCCUAGAUCUGAUCUUGCUAAAAAAGUACUUUUUUUUUAUUUGAUAUGAAUAUAGUUUUGUUUUUGUAUAUUGAUUAGGGGGAUCUUGUUGAUGUUGCCUUACUUGAUAGAUAUAUGCAUAUAUUGGAUGCUGCUUGGAGAAGGAUGUAUUUUGGUUUUGAUUAUGAGUAUAUGUUUGUUAAACAAACCUUAUUGUCGAUUUUUUUGUUGUGUUUGUAUUAGAUGCUUUGAUGUGGAUAAUGUUAUUUUGUUUUGCAUUUAAGGAUUGUAACUUGUAAGUAAACAUUUGCGCAUCGAAUGGGGGAAAGUGGCAUAACUCAGCUCUUUACUGAUACAUGUAUAAAUACAAAUGUAGCCUGUUGGCUAUGUAUUAGAUUCUUUGAUGUGCAUCAUGUUAUUUUGUUUGAAUUUAAGGUAUAUAAGCAAACAUCUGUGGCAUAACUCACUUAUUUACUGAGCUGUAAUACGAUGAUACAUAAUUACAUAUAUAAAUUCACGUAUAUUCUGUUGGCUUUGUAUUAGAUGCUUCUAUCAUAAUGUCGUUUUGUUUCUCAUUUAAGGAUUAUAAGCCAAUCUCUGUGUAUCAGAGGGGAAAGUGGCAUAACUCAGCUCUUUAUCGAGCUGUUAUACAGCGAUACAUAUAUAAAUGCAAAUAUAGUCUAUUGGUAUGUAUUAGUUGAUAGCUUACUUGGGUUCAAUAGUAAUCGAAAAGGUAAUGGGGGGUACACAUGAAGCGAUGGUUUCAUCGUGACUACCUGACACCAUAACUAUUGCAUUUUUAGCCUUCUUUUAAUUAGCUUCUGUAGUCCCAGUCCCGUCUCUAUUUUUCGCAAGGCUUCUUUUGUUUUCUAUUAUUGUUUAGUAUAAGUGUUUCAAGUUCUCUUCUGUUGGCUUCUAUUCCAAUCUUCUGCUUAUUGUGAGCAGUAAAACAUCUCCCUCUUUCUAUCUUGCCCAACAAUUAUUUUUUUCACUUCCUUUUAUGAAUUUCUGUUUUCACCCGUUCUUUUUCUAUAUUACUUCCACUUUCCAUGCCCAGCAAUUUAAUUUUAAAAUCCUCAUUUACUUGCAUUGUAAUUUAGUCUCCUAAUGUUCACCACAGUAACACACUAUAAUUUUCACUUUCUCUCAUAUGUUGAAUGAUACAGUUGGAACAUUAGCAAGAGGUAGAUACGACAACAACGACAUUGCCAUUGCUGUAAUUAUGGGUACCGGUACAAAUGCAGCUUGUUGAACAAGCCCAGGGUAUACCAAAAUGGCACGACCCGCCCCCUAAAUCAGGAGAGAUGGUUAUAAACAUGGAGUGGGGUAACUUCAGCUCGUCACAUCUUCCGUUGACGGAGUAUGAUACUGCAUUGGAUAUAGAAAGCUUAAACCCAGGUCAACAGGUGAUUGUUUCUGCAUAUGCUUUUCCUGAUACACCAUAUAUGUUGUUAUUAACUCAUAAUAUUGACAGAUGUAUAAAAAAAACGAUUUCGGGGAUGUACCUGGGAGAAAUUCUUUGUAGAGAUGUUUUAUAUUUUUUGUUUAGGUGUAAAGAUGGAAGCCAUAACGAUAACGAUAUGAUGCGUAGAGAGCAUGCGUGUUCAUGAAACAUUCCACACAUAUUCGCUUUUGUUUAGCGUGCAUUGUUACUUGGUGUCUUGUUUGAGCCGACUAUCUGUGUUUUUUAUGUUUUAGUAAUCAACAAUUCACUUAAAGACUUCGCGCAAUCUAAGUUAUUGAAAUUGUAUCCAACCUUUCUUUUUUAUUUUAGGCA